CCCACUUCCAUGAGCAAUCCUUAGGGGAUCCCUUAUUGUGCAAGUCUCCUGGAGGUCAUCAGAGUAGCCUGCGAUGAAAUGUACAACAGACACUCCUGGACAAAUGUAAUUGUCUGAUUACUAGGUUCCAAUGAUAUCUCACAGCCUCGAUUGCCUGUACUCUGCACAUUCUUUUAAUUGCUCCAGUUUUCAUGACAUUUCAAGAAAUCCUGAAUGUAUGAAAUAAUUUGGAGUAUUUAUAUGAAUGUGACCUUUUCUGAGAAGAAAAUUCAGCACUAACUAAACUUCAAAGGGUUCUAAAUAAAGAGACUUCUUGUCAGC
rnacentral:lncRNA from 1 species